AAACAAACAAGUUCGCCUACUGUGAUACCGUUGUUGUUGGGGUUGUCAUCGUCUCUGCUUCUGGAGCUUGGAGUUGCAGUAAGCUCAUGGACUGCCUUCAGGAAUGGCCAGAACCGGUUGUUCAUGUCCAGGCCUUGUCGGACAGCGCUCUGACGACGAUUCCAGACCUGUACAUCAAGCCGCCGUCCGAGCGCCCGUCGUCGGACAAAGGCGUCGCCACGCCCCACAUCCCGGUGAUCGACCUGGGAGGGCUGGCGGAGGGCGCGGCUGAAUGCCGCGCCACCAUCUGCGCCGUGGCGGACGCGUGCCGCUCCUGGGGAUUCUUCCAGGUGGUGAACCACGGGGUGAGCCCGGACCUGGUCAGGAAGGUCCGGGAGGUAUGGCGAGGCUUCUUCCGCCUCCCCAUGGCGGAGAAGCAAGCGUACGCCAACAACCCCAGGACUUACGAAGGCUACGGCAGCCGCGUCGGCGUCGAAAAAGGUGCCAUCUUGGAUUGGGGUGACUACUUCUACCUCCACCUCCUCCCCGAGUCCAUCAAGAACCAAGACAAAUGGCCUGCCCUGCCGUCUUCUUGCAGGCAGACGGUGCAGGAGUACGGAGACGAGAUGGUGAAGCUGUGUGGGACGCUGAUGAAGGUGCUGUCCAUAAGCCUGGGCUUGGACGUGGAUCAACUGCAGGCCGCCUUCGGAGGCGACGACGUGGGCGCCUGCCUCCGCGUGAACUACUAUCCGAGGUGCCCGCAGCCGGAGCUCACCCUCGGCCUCUCCCCGCACUCCGACCCGGGCGGCCUCACCGCCCUCCUGGCUGACGACUGCGUCAAGGGCCUCCAAGUUCGGAGAGGCGACGAUUGGGUGACCGUCCAGCCCGUCGCCGGCGCUUUCAUCGUCAACAUCGGCGACCAGAUUCAGGUGCUCUCGCUCUCUCUCUCUCUCUCGGCGAUUCCUCGAGGUCAAAGUUUUAGCCGUUUUGUUCCCGCGGAUCUUUACGUCGUCCAGGGAAACUGGAGUCACAUGCAAGCAUAUCUCAACCAUGUCCUGUGAGACGACGCUUGUCUGCAAAGUUGUCUUCCCUCCGCAACCUUCCUCGUUCACUCUGACAACCUUCCUCUUGCGGUGUUCGUUGUGAGCGUUACUUUAUGAUUCCGUUGACCCAUCUCACCGCCCAGCUUGUGUCUUCUGCCACUUGUUCCAAUCAUACAUUUUGAGUAACGCAAAGUAUAAGAGCGUUGAACAUCGAGUGACAGUGAAUGCAGCGCAGGAGAGACUGUCGCUCGCCUUCUUCUACAAUCCGCGGAGCGACUGGCCGAUCGCGCCGGUCGGCCAGCUCGUGACGCC